CUACGGGGGGCAGCAGUGGGGAAUAUUGCACAAUGGGGGAAACCCUGAUGCAGCAACGCCGCGUGGAGGAUGACACAUUUCGGUGCGUAAACUCCUUUUAUAGGUCAAGAUAAUGACGGUAGCCUAUGAAUAAGCGCCGGCUAACUCCGUGCCAGCAGCCGCGGUAAUACGGAGGGCGCAAGCGUUACUCGGAAUCACUGGGCGUAAAGAGCAUGUAGGCGGGUUAAUAAGUCAGAAGUGAAAUCCAAUAGCUCAACUAUUGAACUGCUUUUGAAACUGCUAACCUAGAGUGUGGGAGAGGUAGAUGGAAUUUCUGGUGUAGGGGUAAAAUCCGUAGAGAUCAGAAGGAAUACCGAUUGCGAAGGCGAUCUACUGGAACAUUACUGACGCUGAGAUGCGAAAGCGUGGGGAGCAAACAGGAUUAGAUACCCCAGUAGUC
rnacentral:rRNA from 1 species